UACGACCACGUCACGUUGAAACAUCGCUUUCCGUACGAUCACCAAAGUUAAGUAAUGUCGAGCCUGGUUAGUACCGAGAUGGGUUACCGCUUAAGAAGAGCAGGUACUGUAAG